rnacentral:lncRNA from 1 species
GGCUUUUUACUUGUUUUUAGAAUAAAGUGAUGAUCGCUAAGCUCCUUACAUGCAGGACCAGAAACCAGAAGUUGCCAUUUCCAUUUUAAAAUGAGAUAACUAAGAAUCACAGGAGGUACAACAUGACUUCCCAAAAGUCAUAUAUGUGUUGGAGAUUGAAUGAAGACCUGAGCCUAGUGACACUAAGUCUGAGUUAUUAACCUGUUGUGAAGUUGUGUAAAAGACUUGGAUUUUACUUAUCCAUUUCAGAAAGAAAGUGACUAAAUUGAGAUACUGACUCAACUUCUUACAUUCAGGAAACAAGUCUUUUUCAGUAAUUCCUUGCAGCUUCAGCUCAUACACAAUGAUCCGUUGGUUUCUUCAUCGAAAAGGAAGGGAAGGGGGAGAAAACACCACUUUUUAAAGCCAAGACCAAAGAAAAUAAUUCCUUUUGUGUAAAGGAUCAAUAAUGGUCUCUGUUCAUUCU